AAAGUGCCUGUGAAGUGAAACUUUACCUUUCUAUAUCACCAGCUUCCUGUUAGAGCAGACUUUUUCUUUGCUCAAAGUCUAAGCAUUGAAGAACUUCUUUUUAGUAGGUAGAUUUUUGUGUUUUUUUGUUUGUUUUUGAGACGGAGUCUCACUCUGUCGCCCAGGCUGUGGUGCAGUGGCACGAUCUCGGCCCACUGCAAGCUCUGCCUCCCGGGUUCACACCAUUCUCCUGCCUCAGCCUCCCAAGUAGCUGGGACUACAGGUGCCAGCCACCACGCCUGGCUAAUUUUUUUGCAUUUUUUAGUAGAGAUGGGGUUUCAUCGUGUUAGCCAGGAUGGUCUUGAUCUCCUGACCUCAUGAUCCACCCGCCUUGGCCUGCCAGAGUGCUGGAAUUACAGGCGUGAUUUAGUAGGUAGUUUUGAGUAGGGAGUAUACAUUUAAAAUGCUGAAACUCAGUUAAGGAAUAAUCUAAUACUGUAUUCAACUGAAACUCAGUUGAGAAAUUUCUUUCCAAUAAUAAAGGAAAAUCAACUGCAGUAAUGAGGGAGAUGAUUUUGCUGCUAAUUACAACAAAUAUUUACUACAGACCUGUUAUGCACCAGGAACUGUGCUAAAUGUUUUAUACAUAUAACUUUAUCUUGUGCUCCAACAACUUAUUACAUAGAAAUUGCUAUUAUUCCCAUUUUCUAGAUUAAUAAAUUGGUUUAGAGGGGUCGUAUAGGUGAAACAACUCACUCAAUAUCACAAGCUGUUAUGUGGUGAAGUUUGCAUGAUCAGUACAGGGUUCUGGUCAUCCCACUCAUUGAGUGGUGCUAGUCAAGAUCUGGAAGCUCUUCUGGUCUUAGUUUCUCUAGCCGUGAAGUGACAAUGAUUAGGUCUAAUCAUAGAACAUGAGAGUACAUGUGAAAAAAUGCCUUUUUAAAGAGUAUGAAAAACUUGAGUUGUAAAAUUUUCUUGUGGAUAAUUUAUUAUUGCUUUUCUUUUUUAGAUAACACUAACAAAGUUGACCUUAGAAUUGGAGUGCCUGGGUUAGAACCCUGCUGGUACCACCUGCUUACUGCAUGCUUCUGAUGUGAGUUCAGGAGAAGACACUGGCAAGGACAGCAAAGAACAGGAGAACACUCUAGCUUCCCUGAUAGCAUUCAAGGUGCUGUCCAAACUGACUGUGAUGGCACCCUCCAGACAGACAGCGAUGCCACAUGUUCAAGAUGGCAGAAUCACUAUCAGCUUCAAUUCCUGAAUGACUGCAGAGCAAAAUUUCUUACCUGCAACAUACACUCUAUUUUCAGCCUCCCUGGACUGUUACAUAAUGAUACAUAAAAAUAUUUCUUGUGUUGAGGCAUCCCAAAUUUGAUUUAUUUGUCAUCACAGUCUAUCCUAUGAAUAUAUUUCUGAUCCAAAUAAUGCUAGAUUCAUGAGAGUUUAUAGUCCAGAGAUUUUUUUUUUUUUUUUGAGACAGAAUCUGUCUCCCAGGCUGGGGUGCAGUGGCAUAAUCUUAGCUCACUGCAACCUCUGCCUCCCGGGCUCAAGUGAUCCUCCCUCCUUAGCCUCCAUGAGUAGCUGGGACCACAGGUGUGCACCACCACACCCCGCUAAUUAUUUUGUAUUUUUUGCAGAGGGGGGUUUCACCACAUUGCCCAAGCUGGUCUCAAACUCCUAGACUUAAGGGAUCUGCCUGCCUUGGCCUCCCAAAAUGCUGAAAUUACACUUGUUAGCCAUAGUAAUAGUUCCUAGCCAUAGUCCGGAGAUAUUUUAAAAACUUUAGUGUGAGUUAUUUCUCUUUGCUAUAAUUCUCUCAUGCAUUUUGAAAACCUUUUCUGCCAUACAGUGGUUUUUGGGAAGUCCUUUUGGACAGACAUAUCACAGGAUGGAGAAACUAAAAAGAGAGAAUGCAUUAAAGAAAAAAUAGUACUUCGUAUUUCAGAAAUUACAAAAGGGUGUCAUGCCCCACAGCAUGGUGGGCAGUCAUUUGUAACCCACAGAACAUUGAGUUUCUAAAAUUUGAGUGUUUUUAACUUACGAAGGCCAACUUUACUGAUGAAGUGAUUACCCCAAAUAUGUGAAAUCCAUAUUUCAAGUACAAUAGUAGGAAAUUGGAAAUGGGCUCUUGAGUUUCUGCUUUCAAGUGACCCUCAGAAAUUCCUCCAUUCACUGCAGAGGUUCUGUUUCUCCUUGCUUUGUUCUGACUUUACGGCAGAACUAAGCUAAUGAGUUAGUUACUAUGGGUUAUCACUUGGAUUUGAAGAACCAUCAUUUCUAGGCAUUGCUGCUCAGAGUGGGUCUGCCCUCAGGGGAAGCUGUCUAACCAGAGCCUAACCCACUAGGGUUUUAUCAGAACCUAACUGACCUGAGGAAAAGAAAUACUCAACUCCAGCAAGCUCCAGCCUUCCAAAUGGAGGAGGAGAAAACCCAACUCCAGCCCACUUCAGCUAUCUUGUCCCACAUAAAGGGGAAGUGGAAGAAACCUGAGAAGCAGGCAUGAAGUUCACAGUCCAGAGGUAUACAAGCCACGCUGAACAUCUGAAAAUCAAUUCAUGUGAUCCAUCACAUUAGCAGACUCAAGAAAAAAAACCACAUUAUCAUAUCAGUAGAUGUAGAAAAAAAAAAUUAACAAAAUCCAGCACCCAUUCACAAUGAAAAUGCCCAGUAAAUUAGAAAUAGAAGGUAACUUCCUCAAAUUGAUAAGGAAUAUCUCUAAAAACCUACAACUAAAAUCAUACUUAAUGGUAGAAAACUAGAAGCCUUCCCAGUAAGAGUAAGAACAAGUCAAAGAUGUAUGCUCUCACCAAUGCUUUUCAACAUCAUAUUGGAAGUCCUAGCUAGUGCAAUAAGCAAAAAAAAAAAAAAAGUUAUAUUAAUAAGAACAAAAACUGUGUUUGUUUGCAGAUGACAUGAUUUUCUAUGCAAAAAAUUCAAAAUAAUCAACAACAAAAAAAUCCUGAAACUAAUAAAUGAUUAUAGCAAGAUUUCAGGAUAUGAGAUUUAUAUACAAAGGUCAAUUACUUUCAUAUAUACAAGCAAUGAACAAGAGGGAUUUGAAAUUAAAAACGAAACUAUUUACAUUAGUACCCCCAAAAUGAAAUCCUUAUGUAUAAACUUAACAAAAUAUGUACAAGAUACAUAUGAGAAAAA
rnacentral:lncRNA from 1 species